rnacentral:tRNA from 1 species
UCCCUGGUGGUCUGGUGGCUAAGACUGUGUGCUCCCAAUGCAGAGGGCACAGGUUUGAUUCCUGGUCAGGGAA